GUUUUUUUGUACAUGCAUUAGGCGUUAGUUUUCUCAUUUGAAUUGUUUUACAUUGUCACCUCUGGGCCUUUUAUAGCUGACUAUGCGGUAUGGGCUUUGUUCAUUGUUGAAGACCGGACGGUGACCUAUAGUUGUCAAUUUCUGUGUCAUGUUUGUCUCUUGUGCCUGAUAUUUGUCUCAUUGGCAAUUUUACCACACCUUCUUUUUUAUGUUGUCAGAAAACAAAAACAAAAUCUUAUCAAGGGGAAUCUUCAAUUUGCUAAAGAAUGCUUUUGUCCAGACAGAAACUAGACCCUAAUUUUGAUAUUUUUGAUUUGGCUAAAACGAUUGAAUUAAUAGCGAGAGGACUUGACAUGUUACCUUUACCAACUCCCCCAACCCCGAGCUUUGGGUUUGUUUUUGUUUCUCUACCAACUUUCCACACGAUUCCCACCUAAAUUAUGAUUUCAAAGCAAGUCACUUUUAUAAUCAUGUACUAUUGUAAUAUACUUUCUCCUCAAAUUUUAAUACUGUUUUCUGGGGGAGAGGGGGAGAAGGUGGCAAGUUGCGAUUAAAAUCCAAAUACUUCUCUCAUAGCGUAAUUGUAUUGGUAAAUAAUUAUAUAUAUAUAUAUUCACUACAACGCGAUGCAUUGCGAGGCACAUAAGAUAUCGC
rnacentral:lncRNA from 1 species